rnacentral:rRNA from 1 species
CCAAUAGCGUAUAUUAAAGUUGUUGCAGUUAAAAAGCUCGUAGUUGAAUUUCGGGGUUCUACCGUUGGUCGGGCAAUAGUCUGUACUGGCGUGUGGAAUUUCUACCUUCUGGGGAACCAUCAUGUUAUUUAUUUAGCGUGGUGGGAAACCAGGACCUUUACCUUGAAAAAAUUAGAGUGUUCAAAGCAGGCUUACGUCUGAAUACAUUAGCAUGGAAUAAUAAAAUAGGACGGUUGUCCUGUUUUGUUGGUUUCUGAAUCACCGUAAUGAUUAAUAGGGAUAGUUGGGGGCAUUAGUAUUCAAUUGUCAGAGGUGAAAUUCUUGGAUUUAUUGAAGACUAACUUCUGCGAAAGCAUUUGCCAAGGAUGUUUUCAUUAAUCAAGAACGAAAGUUAGGGGAUCGAAGACGAUCAGAUACCGUCGUAGUCUUAACCAUAAACUAUGCCGACUAGGGAUCGGACGAUGUUAAUUUUUCUUGACUCGUUCGGCGCCUUACG